rnacentral:lncRNA from 1 species
CAAGUGCACGAAAUCGCUCAAGUAAUAUAAUGAUAAAUAAGAGAUCGUUUCCACGAGGACUGAGUUUAAUUAUCAAAAAUGAAUGCUAAUUUUACUAAUAUCUAAACGAUCGAAACUGAAUGACAGUGAAAAAUAAAAUUAACUCUAAAGAACUCAAUGAAAGCUGAAUCAAAAUUCGAUUGAUAAAGCACUAGGGUAUAUCUGAUUUCACUUGGACCAAUUAUCAAUUCUAGCUAUUUCGAUUAAUAAUCCAAAUUUAAUUAUUAAUGCAAGGAUAAAUAAUCCUAAAUUAUUUAAUAAUCUCUCCCGAGUCUUAUUAAAUAUACUAAUUAAAACCUAUAAUCUAUCUUCCAAUAGUAAAAUAGAUUUUAAUUAGUUCAAUAAGCACAGUGAUUAUUUCCAAGAUCCCACAGGUCAAAUCUUCUGCUCCCGCUCCAAUUAUUAUUC